rnacentral:siRNA from 1 species
CUAAGUGCCUUUUGCGACUAU